UUUUUUUAAUUGAGAGACAGUUCUGCGUUGUGGAUUACAACAGGGGAACUGCACGAGAUAAAUGCUAUUAUUUGGCCUCCUGGUUCAGAAAGUUAAUUGCUUUCAUUUCUGUUGCAUUUUUCAUCCCAAAGCACUAAACAUACAAGGAAGAGAUCUACUUUAUCCACCUCUCAUAUGGGUGAUGCGUGGCAGCCAUUAAACAACAGCAGCUCACCACAGAUAUGAUGUAAAGGUGUAGAUGUCAUAGUACAGGAGACAACUUAAUUCAUCAUUGACAGCAAUACAUUUUUGAAGAGGAGA